rnacentral:tRNA from 1 species
GGCGCUGUGGCUCAAGUGGUAGAGCGCUAGCCUUGAGCAUUAGGCCCUGGGUUCGAUUCCUCAGCACCA